rnacentral:rRNA from 1 species
UGAGGAAUAUUGGACAAUGGGUGCAAGCCUGAUCCAGCCAUCCCGCGUGAAGGAUUAAGGUCCUAUGGAUUGUAAACUUCUUUUAUACAGGGAUAAACCUCUCCUCGUGAGGAGAGCUGAAGGUACUGUAUGAAUAAGCACCGGCUAACUCCGUGCCAGCAGCCGCGGUAAUACGGAGGGUGCAAGCGUUAUCCGGAUUUAUUGGGUUUAAAGGGUCCGUAGGCGGGCCGAUAAGUCAGUGGUGAAAUCUCGCAGCUUAACUGUGAAACUGCCAUUGAUACUGUUGGUCUUGAGUAAAUUUGAAGUGGCUGGAAUAAGUAGUGUAGCGGUGAAAUGCAUAGAUAUUACUUAGAACACCAAUUGCGAAGGCAGGUCACUAAGAUUUAACCUGACGCUGAUGGACGAAAGCGUGGGUAGCGAACAGGAUUAGAUACCCCGAGUAG